UGCCAGCAGCCGCGGUAAUACGGAGGGGGCAAGCGUUGCUCGGAUUUACUGGGCGUAAAGGGUCCGCAGGCGGUUCGUUAAGUCUGAUGUGAAAGCCCGGGGCUCAACCCCGGAAGUGCAUUGGAAACUGGCGAACUUGAGUACGGGAGAGGAAAGUGGAAUUCCGAGUGUAGGGGUGAAAUCCGUAGAUAUUCGGAGGAACACCAGUGGCGAAGGCGGCUUUCUGGACCGAUACUGACGCUGAGACGCGAAAGCGUGGGGAGCAAACAGGAUUAGAUA
rnacentral:rRNA from 1 species